GUCUUAGUUAUUCAUUGGAGGGCAUGUCCUUUAAGAGUUGCUCCACUGGCCCGAUAUGCAGUCUUCUGAUCACUCUGGCUCAUCAGUGGCAUAUCCUGAUUAAUCCCACUUCCUUUCCAUCAAAUACAGUCUUUUUCAUUCUUUCUGGUGCUAAGUAUAGGCAGCACUUCAAUGGACGGGCAACCAACUUUUAAGGACCAUGGUCUUUAGGGAGGGUGUGGGAUGAAGUUGACAGAUAGAGGCGAGAGGGAGAUAAGUGGGAAUCUGCUGGAUGAUCUGAGCGGCUAGUAGUUGGAUUAAAUCAUUCGGGGGAUAGGACAAAAUGAGUGAUAGGGCUGGAAGGGCCAAUGGGAGAACCUGGGUUUGAUUAGAAAGCAAGAGACAGAGAGCGAGUGGGUGGGGAACCUGAAUUUGGAGUAUUCACUGUUGAUAUCAUUGGACUGUAGACCGCACAGGCACAAUAUGAGGUAUACUGUGCAGUGUCCAAUGUGCUCCACUCAAUCCUAAAACUGAAAUAACUUUCUGUAACACUUCUUCCAGCAAAAGAUGAAGAUUCUCUUCCCAUUUUAUGGAAAAGGGUGAAGAAAACUGAACAUAAUACUCCAAAUAUGGCCUCACCAACAUCUUUACCUGCAAUAUAACAACCUAACUGAAUGCCCUAAUUGAUGAAGUGAAUAAAACUGAUGAUUGAACUUAACAUAAGGACACCCACAGUCAUCUGCAGAGGUCCAGUAUACAGCCUGCUAACUUCAUGGCCUUGGACAUUCAAGGAUUGUGCCAAUCUUUCAACAAUCAGCUCCGUGAGGAGGGCUGUUCAGUCUCAAAGAUUUCUGAACCAAGCAGGAAGACAAGAAAGCCUGGGAAAAGUAACAGAAGUUGCAAUUCUGCAAUGUAAGACAUCUUCCCUACAAAUCUUGGCGCUGUCAGUGACAAGCAUAGUGAAAGGUUUCACCAGGACAUUGCAGAAAUGGAGAAAUCGUAUCAAGGCAACUGGAAUCCAUCAAAGCUGGAUGAUUAUUGUUGGAUACUUAAGUGAGAAACCUCACACCCUGAGUACAAAUGAAGUUCUUUGAUAAAAACAUUUUAAAUUCAGUUGAAGUAUUGCAAUGCAAUAAAACAUACUAUAUUUAACAAAAGUUAAUUUCUUGUUCCUCCAAAUUCCUAUGUGAUACAAGUAUUCUGAAAUUAUAUUCACAUUCAGCUUCAAGUGUUCUGUCAUAAAAAAAAGUUCCAAGGAAGCAACACUUUCGAAGAAAAUUGUGGUGUAGUGUGAUUGACACUACAGUGCCUUAUUGGAAUUCCUAUAUGUCUUAUCUACAUCCAAAUUGAUUUCUUAUUUCCCAAGAUUCAAAAUAAAAUUAGACAUCAUUGUAAAUUGUUGUACUACCAACUUGGUCACAGUUCACUAAGCAAUAUUAUGAGGUUGUGAAAGACAUUGUUCAAAUGCAAGUGCUGUAUUUUCUGAUAUUUGUUAACUGUAUUUUUUCAUCUGACACGUUCUAAUGAAUAUUGACUGUGACACCAAAGUAACCGUUUAAUUGACAGACUUUUGUUGUGAGCAUUGGUCUUAAUUGGAUGUGAUUGAAUUAACAAUAGAAAAAUCAAUGCUAAUUUCAGAAGUUAAUAUUGACCUCAGGAGAGACUCACAAAAAUAUACCAAGUGUGCACCUAGAUGUCUGUUCAACAAACAAAUGAGCCUGAGACAAACAGUUUAAGAACUACCUAUGUUGACCAAGAGAAUCAAAAUUAAAUAUGUUAAAGUCCCUCAUUGCUUAAUGGCAAACAAUCAAUACAAUGCCACAGGAAUUUGUGAUCAUAAAGAUUAUUAGUUAUUUACUUAGGCUUCACAAUGUUUUAGUAAUGGGAUUUUAUUUUCCAAGAUAAAACUGGAAUAAAAAUGCGAGUGUUAGCAUUUCUGAACCUGCAGCAAUACUGUUGUUAUGAUGCUGGUUUGUGACCCUAAUUGUGAGCGAGAAUAAAAAUCUCAAAGUCAUCUGGCAAGAUAAGGGGAGACAGAAGAGCAUUGUACACCUAAUGACGGACUCCUCUGCAUCCUUGAUGUCAUGGGUCAUCCAUGUUAAGAAUGUGUGUGUCCAAUCAUCUGCUGAUUGUUAUCAUGCUAGGCCUCAAGCACAAAUCAGACAUGAACUAAUUUUGUGCUACAGUGAAUGAACAAUGACCUUUUGGAACACUGAUGACUGUAUGAUAGAGUUAUGCAUUUAUUGCUUAAAAUAUGGUGACAUUAGCCAGUGCACCAAUUACAGAACAACUCCUUCCAUUAGAUUCCACCAACUGUUUAUGUGUUUAUUUAUGACUUAUUUUGAAAACAGUCAAGCAGAAUAAUAGUCAGGGCUAUACAUACAAACACAAUCAUUGUCUAUGUAAAUGAAACAGAAGGAUUAUUGUACUAUUUUGCUUCCAACAUAACCCCACUAUUUUUUAUCUCUCUAAAAAUACUGUUAAAUAAUGAAUAUCUUCUUCAGUUCAUUUGUUUUUUUUUCUCUAUCCUGGAAGGGGUGUUAAGAGUGUAUAACUCUAUAAAAAGUAAAUGCAAUCAGCUUUUGUUUCAUGUCAUUUCACUGUUAUACAAUAGUUCAAUAGUCACAUUAUUGCUAUGACAAUGAACCUGAAUACAUCAAAUUUAUGACAGCACUGAAUGAGGUUGUGUUUUUCUCUCCCUUUGGAACAUUAUCAGCUAAUACAUACAUACAUCACAUCCCAUUG